AUUCCACAAUUUUUAGAUAACGCAACCGCUUUACCCAUUAUCUCUCUCACAAAAUGUAGUUCUUUCUCACUCAUCAAGCAAUAAUCACUGCCAUCUUCCUCACCCGUUGUCUGUCAUCCACAGAAGGUUCGCCGCUGAGCCGCUUUUCCAUCUAAUUUCAUUGCAAGUAAUAUAAUAAUGGCUAUUCUUUUCAGCCCUCCUUCCUUCUCCUCCCGUCCCCUCUUUCGACCCCCGCUAAAAUCACCGCAUCCAUCUCUCCACGGAUUCACGUGUUGUGCUCCACCGCUGAUGCUCUUGCAUCAUCGACAUCAGAUUUCCCAAAAUGAAGCACUGGAAGGCCGGUGAAAUAAUUUCUAUGUAUCUUUUUUGUAUUAGAUCUCAAAUGUCUCAUGCUCUCAAAGAUUUGGUAAGAAGAUUAGGUUCUUGGAAUUAUCUUCCGGUCAUCGGAUAUUGGGAUUGGAGGAGCUAGAGAAGGAUGGAAAUUGAAAGCACACAAAUUCAACUUUAUUUUUCAAAGAUAUUCACUUCUUUCAAUAUGCCUACUUCACUCUUUUCAUCAUUGAAUGCCAUAGGGAUGAGGUGUGUGCACUUCCGCCAGAGGCAUAGGCAUAGAAUUAUCAUCGGAGGCGGCUAUUUCGUUUGGUGGAUAGAGGCGAAUUUAUUCACCCAAGGAAGGAGAAUGUGGUGAAUUUAUUUGGAAUUCAUAAGUUUGAGCUCAUUAGGCAUGAUGUUGUCGAGCCCAUUUUAUUGGAGGUGGAUCAGAUCUACCAUUUGGCAUGCCCUGCUUCGCCAGUGCAUUACAAGUAUCACUCUAUCAACACUAUCAUUCCUAUCCUAUCUUAUCACUAUGGUUGCUAAAUGUUAGAUAUUUAAGUUUAAUGGUAGCUUAGAUCAUCGAUUACUACUGUGGAAAUUAUGUAUGCUUGCUUGCUUAUCUUCAUGUAUUUGUUUGUUCAACUUGUUAGAAUUGAUGUGUUGUGUGUUUUAGCAUGGUUUUGGUUUGAUUGUAGCAUCCUCGACUGCCUGGUGCCCAGCAAGUACUGCCGCUCGAGAAUAGAUCGACAGGGCAGAGUGUGAAUGUGUAGAUCAAUAUGAUAUUUACCUUCGCCAUCGCCCAAUAUUUCCUCAAAAUGCUCUGCCACAUGAAAUUUGGAUUUGAUCUCCACAUAUUCUUUUUCUUCUUCUGCUUGGCCAUGACUAUUUAGUCUUUUUUUUCAUCUACUUUUUCUUUUCUGAGAAUAAAGGGAUUCCCAUUGUAGAAUUGUUGUUGUUUGGAACUCCCAUCCCUACUGAAAACCACGGCAUGGCUUGAUUUGAUACAUCUACGUAUCAUUGCUUAAUUAACUUUUUUUUCUUUGAUCA